rnacentral:lncRNA from 1 species
CCCGCCCCCCCCACCAUGUGUGCGCCUCCGGGGAGCCUUGCCUGGCACAGUCACACAGACACCCACUUGGCACAGCCCUGAGCGCCUGGCAGCUGGGCAGGGGGUGGCUGGCAUGUGGGAGGGGGCCAGCUCCGGAGGUGGGGUGCCGAUCCGGCCUGGACUGCCCAGCAGAUGGGAGCGACUCACGUCUCCGGAUCCCGCUCGGCAAACUGGGCUGGACGAGUCCUCCCCACCGCGUGGUUGGGAAGAUGGAUGAGGUGAUGCACGAGGAAAACCUCCAAAGACCUACGUCCCUAGACACACAUCAGAC